GCCCCUGUGGUGAAAUGGAUAUCACGAUAGUCUUCGGAACUAUUGUUGGGGGUUCGAAUCCCUCCGGGGGCA
rnacentral:tRNA from 1 species